rnacentral:piRNA from 1 species
UGAAAUCAGCAAGGGUAACUAUCAUCA